CCUACGGGGAGCAGCAGUGGGGAAUAUUGGACAAUGGGCGAAAGCCUGAUCCAGCCAUGCCGCGUGUGUGAAGAAGGCCUUCGGGUUGUAAAGCACUUUCAGUGGGGAAGAAAGCCUUGGGGCUAAUACCCUCGAGGAAGGACAUCACCCACAGAAGAAGCACCGGCUAACUCCGUGCCAGCAGCCGCGGUAAUACGGAGGGUGCGAGCGUUAAUCGGAAUUACUGGGCGUAAAUCGCGCGUAGGCGGUCUGAUAAGCCGGUUGUGAAAGCCCCGGGCUCAACCUGGGAACGGCAUCCGGAACUGUCAGGCUAGAGUGCAGGAGAGGAAGGUAGAAUUCCCGGUGUAGCGGUGAGAUGCGUAGAGAUCGGGAGGAAUACCAGUGGCGAAGGCGGCCUUCUGGACUGACACUGACGCUGAGGUGCGAAAGCGUGGGUAGCAAACAGGAUUAGAUACCCUAGUAGUC
rnacentral:rRNA from 1 species